rnacentral:lncRNA from 1 species
GUGGAUCAGUGAUCCUGCAGAGUCCUGUCCUCCCUGUGAUGGAGGGACAUGAUGUCACUCUGCACUGUCAAACAAAGAGCCCUCCCUCCAAGCUCCCAGCUGAUUUCUAUAAAGAUGGCUCCCUCAUCAGGACUGAGCCUACAGGUCACAUGACCAUCCACCGUGUCACCAAGUCUGAUGAAGGAGCCUAUAAAUGCAGCAUCCAGGCUGGUGGAGAGUCUGCGUCCAGCUGGAUGCUGGUCUCAGAGCAACCUACCACCACAUCUGUACCUACAACCCCUGGAGCCUCAACCUCUCCAGAUCAUUUUCUUCUCUACAUUUUGAUGUCUGUUGUUUGUGUCUGUGUUCUGGUUCUGCUAGUGAUUCUGUUUGUGAGACGAAAAGUUCAGAAAAAACCUACAGCUGCUGAAGGAAAAGUAUUAGAGGGUGAAAUCACAUACGGUGAUGUUAAAAUAUGUCACCAACAACAGUCAUUCAGACAUAAUAGAGGGAAGGAUGACGCUCCAGUUUACUCAACGGUGAGAACAGAAGACACCAACUACGGACAGAUCAUCAUCAGACACACUGAACCAAGGACCAGAGGUCCAGGACCAGCUGUGGUUUACUCCUCUCUCAGGUCCAGUCUCCCUCCAUCACGUGAUUCCAACCUCUGAUGUUCACCAGCAGCUACGAAAUUUACUGUUCAUGUUUUAAACUCUGAUCUGCUUCAUUUAACUUCAGUCUCACUUGUUUUUCUUUUUGUGGUUCUGUGGAAAAUGUGACUUGGUCUGUGACUGUUUGGUUGUGGUUAAAACCACAGACUCCAUCACCUGAACAAGCAUCUAGAACCCAAACCACAGAAUGAAAGGUGUCUCACUCAGGGGCACGCUUAGUGUGGGGUGGGGGUCUGAACCUGGGACCUUCCACUCCCAACACUCUACCACUGAGCCACCAAACCCCCAACAACACUGCUCACGGAGGGAACAGUUCCAGCAGCUGCAUGUGUCAUAAGAGAAGCUGUCAGCAGAGAAGAUCCAGAUGUUUUAAAAUCAUGGAGAGAUUAGUUUCUGCAUAUAAAGAAGCUUUUUAAAAACAUGAAAUGAAACUCUGUAAGUUUGUAGGUUUAAACUAUGUUAAACUCUUUUCUCAUUGGUUCCUACUUUAGCUGUAUGAGGUGCUACAUAUUAUAAUAUAAAUCAUGUGUGACAUGUUCAUCUGUUGUUUCUCUAACAGUCGUCCACUUCCUGUUUCUUGUCAAUCACAUCCGAUGAUCUGCAGAAUCUGCUGCUGUUUGUUUCUUUGAACUGUCUUCACUUUGUUUAAAUAAAGUUUUAUUCAGAUCUAUUGACUGACGUCA